AUACGGAGGGGUGCAAGCGUUGUUCGGAAUUACCUUGGGCGUAAAGCGCGUGUAGGCGGUUGGUUAAGUCUGAUGUGAAAGCCCUGGGCUCAACCCGGGAAGUGCAUUGGAAACUGGCUAACUUGAGUACGGGAGAGGGUAGUGGAAUUUCGAGUGUAGGGGUGAAAUCCGUAGAUAUUCGAAGGAACACCGGUGGCGAAGGCGGCUACCUGGACCGAUACUGACGCUGAGACGCGAAAGCGUGGGGAGC
rnacentral:rRNA from 1 species